UGAAUACGAGAUGCUACGGCGUCGAAGCAGUCUAUGUCAUACUUCCAAGAAAAGCUUGCACUGUCACAAACAAAUAAUGCCUGUACCAUAACCGACACAGGUGGGUAGGUAGAGUAUACUAAGGGGCGCGAGAUAACUCUCUCUAAGGAACUCGGCAAAAUGACUCCGUAACUUCGGGAGAAGGAGUGCCUUAUUUAUAAGGUUGCAAUAACAAGAUCCAAGCAACUGUUUAUCAAAAACACAGGUCUCCGCUAAGUCGUAAGACGAUGUAUGGGGGCUGACGCCUGCCCAGUGCCAGAAGGUUAAAGAAGUUGGUUAGCAUUAGCGAAGCUGAUAACUGAAGCCCUGGUGAACGGCGGCCGUAACCAUAACGGUCCUAAGGUAGCGAAGUUCCUUGUCGGGUAAGUUCCGACCCGCACGAAAGGCGUAAUGAUUUGGAUACUGUCUCAGAGAGGGGCUCGGUGAAAUAGACUUGUCUGUGAAGAUGCGGACUACCUGCACCAGGACAGAAAGACCCUAUGAAGCUUUACUGUAACUUGAAAUUGAAAUUGGACUUUAUUUGCGCAGUAUAGGUGGGAGGCAUUGAGAACAUUCUUGCGGGAUUGUUGGAGCCAUCAGUGAGAUACCACUCUUGUAAUGUUAGAUUUCUAACUUUGUAUCAUUAUCUGGUCAAAGGACAGUUCCAGGCGGGCAGUUUGACUGGGGCGGUCGCCUCCUAAACGGUAACGGAGGCGCACAAAGGUUUCCUCUGAACGGGUAGAAAUCGUAUCUAGAGUGUAAAGGCAUAAGGAAGCUUGACUGUGAGACCUACAAGUCGAGCAGGGACGAAAGUCGGUCUUAGUGAUCUGACGGUGCUGAGUGGAAAGGCCGUCACUCAACGGAUAAAAGUUACUCAAGGGAUAACAGGCUGAUCUCCCCCAAGAGUUCACAUCGACGGGGAGGUUUGGCACCUCGAUGUCGGCUCAUCGCAUCCUGGGGCGGUAGUACGUCCCAAGGGUUGGGCUGUUCGCCCAUGAAAGCGGUACGCGAGCUGGGUUCAGAACGUCGUGAGACAGUUCGGUCCAUAUCCGGUGUAGGCGUUAGAAUAUUGAGAGGAGCCUUCUUUAGUACGAGAGGACCGAGAAGGACAUACCUCUGGUGUACCAGUUAUCGUGCCAACGGUAAACGCUGGGUAGCUAUGUAUGGAGAGGAUAACCGCUGAAAGCAUCUAAGUGGGAAGCCCACCUCAAGAUAAGUAUUCCC
rnacentral:rRNA from 1 species